rnacentral:lncRNA from 1 species
CUGGGCUUAAAAGUCUGAUUUGGAGACAAUCUAUAUUUCUGAAGCAACCUUCUGAGAGCUCCUAGGGUUGGCUAAGAUGCAGAUGGAAGGUAGUCUCUACAACUGAACUUUCCAGGCAGAGGAGCUGAGCGGCAAUUGGAGUGAAUGGCAUGAGCCUCCAAAGAUUACGGAAGAAAAGUGCAGUCGAAGAAAACUUCCUUUGGUUCAGUGCAAAAAUAACUGAAUGAAUCACAUGCUGAAUGAUCACAUGACAUAUGGAAAUGGUGAAUGGUCAGACCAUUGUACACCUUCCAGAAAAGCAGGCAUUUAAAGCUGACACUGAGAACAUUUGGCUCGACUUUCAUCCUUUGGUGAUCUCCUUGCCCCACAUAACGCUGUUUGCACCCUGGUUUUGGUUAUUCUGGAAUGGUCAGUGAUUCUCAAACUCAACAAGAGGAGAAAUGAUGGCAAGAAGCAAAGGCCUUCUACAACCCUCAGGUUAGAUAAGCAGCCAGGUAAGUAAGUCACCAGGAAUUUGCUGUCAUUAACGGGAAGGUUCCCAAAGAGUCAAAGGAACAUGGAUUCCUGAGGUUAAAAGCCAGUGGCCCACUAGUCUCACUUCAAAGCGUCAACCUCAGGUUCUACCAUCCACAUCUCAACAGCCCUUCCUGAAAAUAUGUUAGGCUACAUGGCACAGGGCAAUAGGGUUGCUAAUCAGCUGACUUUCAAAUAGAGAGAUCAUCCAGAAGGGCCUAAUGUAAUCAGAAGCAGCCUGAAACAUGGAGGGAGAGGCAGAAGAACCAAAGUCCUAGGGGACAUGGGGUGGAAGCAAAGUAGGAUGGAGGCUGUGAGGACUCCGCCUGCCACUGCUGGCCUUGAAGAUGGAGGAAGGGGAAGGAAUGCAGGAAGUGUCAAGAAGCUGGAAAAGGCAAGGAGAUGGAUUCUCCCCGAGUUUCCAGAAAAGAACGCAACUCUACCCAUCCUUUGAUUUUAGCCCAGUGAGAACUGUGUCAGAAUUCCAGACAACGAAACUGUCUAGAAACAAAUUAGUGUUGUUUUAUGCCACCAGGGUUAUGGUAAUUUGUGCUAGCAGUCAUAGAAAACAAAGAACGGCAUCGUUGAAUCAACCCCCAAGGUGUGCUCACUAUGGUGAAGGACCCCGGGAUGCUUAUGGGAGGCUGUGGAUGAAAACAAACCAGAGGAGGAUGGUUCAUCCUCCGACCUGGGGGCCAGACUGAGAAGCUGGAGAAAAGAAACAGUGUGUGCAUGCCUGCUGUCCCAACUGGAAAAAUUUUGAUAAAUACUUUUUUUCUGCCCUUUCAUUGUUUUCUUGUCUUUUUACAUCUCGUAGCAGUGAUUCUAGUUGGAUUUGGAUUGACUUGAGCUUUUGAUAAGAUACCCACCACUACUCCUACCUCCACUUUCCCCCCAAUCAAGGUUCCUGGGAAUUUUAGAAAUAGCUACAAAUUUGCAUCAUUGCUAGCCAGUUUCUCCAUUUCUAGGCAACUGGCUUCCCUUAGCU